GACGAACGCUGGCGGCGUGCUUAACACAUGCAAGUCGAACGGAAAGGCCCUGCUUGCAGGGUCCUCGAGUGGUGAACGGGUGAGUAACACGUGGGUGAUCUGCCCUGCACUUCGGGAUAAGCCCGGGUAACUGGGUCUAAUACCGGACAGGAGCCAUAUCUAGUGUGAUGGUUGGAAAGUUUUUUUGGUGUAGGAUGAGCUCGCGGCCUAUCAGAUUGUUGGUGGGGUAAUGGCAUACCAAGGCGGAGACGGGUAGCCGGCCCGGGAGGGUGGACGGCCACAGUGAGACUGAGAUUGGGCCCAGGCUCCGACGGGAGGCAGCAGUAGGGAAGAUUGCACAAUGAGCGCAAGCGUGAUGCAGCGACACCGCGUGGGGGAUGACGGCCUUCGGGUUGUAGACGCAUUGCGCUAGGAACGAAGCUUUUUGUGACGGUACCUAGAGAAGAAGCACCGGCUAACUACGUG
rnacentral:rRNA from 1 species